CAUUGAAAAUAAAGAAUUUUCAUCAACCUUAUCACUUUGCACGACCAUUACUCUGAAAAACAGAGAGAAAAGAAAACCAAAAACCAUUUCUUGGCUGGUUUGAAGAAAUUCUAAGGAGAUCCAAGUGAAAGCAAAGCCAAAGAAGUAGAUUAAGCUUAGUUCUAGCCUUUUUAUGAUAUUUCUUGGGGUUUCCAAGUGGUUUGAGGUUUAGAAAAGCUUGAAGAGAUUGUUUUCGCCGAAAAGUUGCUCGGAUAAGCACAUCAAUACCUAAGACACCACUUGUUACACGGUGAAUUAUAUUUUGGACAGAAGGUAGAGAAAGAAAUGUGUAAAUGACAUGAGGAGAACUGAAGCAUGGUCCUGACCCUGAUUUGUACAUAUGAACAUAUCGACCUUUUGUGUGUUAUUUCAGUUAUCAGUGAGAUGUUUGUAAUAAAGUGUGAAGUUAUGUUUUGAAAAUAAAUUGGGUUAUUUAAUACUUAUGUAUAAUAUGUUUGAGACACACUUUAUGUUUAAUGUAAAUAAUGUGAAAUAAGUUUUCAAGUUUAAAAAAAAAAAAAAUGU